rnacentral:rRNA from 1 species
CAGUCGCCGCGGGAAUACGUAGGUGGCAAGCGUUGUCCGGAAUUAUUGGGCGUAAAGCGUGCGCAGGCGGUUAUAUAAGACAGAUGUGAAAUCCCCGGGCUCAGCCUGGGACCUGCAUUUGUGACUGUAUAGCUAGAGUACGGUAGAGGGGGAUGGAAUUCCGCGUGUAGCAGUGAAAUGCGUUGAUAUGCGGAGGAACACCGAUGGCGAAGGCAAUCCCCUGGACCUGUACUGACGCUCAUGCACGAAAGCGUGGGGAGCAAACAGGAUUAGAUACCCCAGUAGUCCCUGUCUCUUAUAC